AGAGUUUGAUCCUGGCUCAGAACGAACGCUGGCGGCAGGCUUAACACAUGCAAGUUGAACGGGAUUUGUGUGGUGCUUGCACCAUAUAAUGAGAGUAGCGCACUGGUGAGUAACACGUGGGAACGUGCCUUUUAGUGGGGGAUAACAUCUGGAAACGGAUGCUAAUACCGCAUACGCCCUGAGGGGGAAAGAUUUAUUGCUAAGAGGUCGGCCCGCGGUAGAUUAGGCAGUUGGUGGGGUAAAGGCCUACCAAACCUACGAUCUAUAGCUGGUCUGAGAGGACGAUCAGCCACAUUGGAACUGAGACACGGUCCAGACUCCUACGGGAGGCAGCAGUGAGGAAUAUUGGGCAAUGGAGGCAACUCUGACCCAGCCAUGCCGCGUGAGUGAGAAGGUUUUCGAAUUGUAAAGCUCUUUCGGGUGUGAAGAUGAUGACGGUAACACCAGAAGAAGCCCCGGCAAACUUCGUGCCAGCAGCCGCGGUAAUACGAAGGGGGCGAGCGUUGUUCGGAAUUACUGGGCGUAAAGGGUGUGUAGGUGGACGUGUAAGAUAGCGGUGAAAUGCCGGAGCUCAACUUCGGAAUUGCCAUUAUAACUAUGCGUCUAGAAUUAUAGAGAGGAUAGCGGAAUACCCAGUGUAGAGGUGAAAUUCGUAGAUAUUGGGUAGAACACCAGUGGCGAAGGCGGCUAUCUGGCUAUAUAUUGACACUGAGGCACGAAAGCAUGGGGAUCAAACAGGAUUAGAUACCCUGGUAGUCCAUGCUGUAAACGAUGAAUGCUAGUUGUUGGAGGAAUUCAGUGACGCAGUUAACACAAUAAGCAUUCCGCCUGGGGAGUACGGUCGCAAGAUUAAAACUCAAAGGAAUUGACGGGGACCCG
rnacentral:rRNA from 1 species